rnacentral:rRNA from 14 species
CGGGGACGAGUCCCUUGGAACAGGGCAUCGUGGAGGGUGACAAUCCCGUACGUGCCCCGGAACACGUCGUACGGCGCGUCUUCAACGAGUCGAGUUGCUUGGGACUGCAGCUCUAAUAGGUGGUAAAUUCCAUCUAAGGCUAAAUACGGGUGGGAGACCGAUAGCGAACAAGUACCGUGAGGGAAAGAUGCAAAGAACUUUGAAAAGAGAGUUAAAGAGUACCUGAAAUUGCUGAAAGGGAAGCGAAGGAAACCAGUGUCGUGGCUGUGCAU